GUGAGGAAUAUUGGUCAAUGGGCGGGAGCCUGAACCAGCCAAGUCGCGUGAAGGAAGAAGGAUCUAUGGUUCGUAAACUUCUUUUGCAGGGGAAUAAAGUGCAGGACGUGUCCUGUUUUGUAUGUACCCUGAGAAUAAGGAUCGGCUAACUCCGUGCCAGCAGCCGCGGUAAUACGGAGGAUCCGAGCGUUAUCCGGAUUUAUUGGGUUUAAAGGGUGCGUAGGUGGUUUGAUAAGUCAGCGGUGAAAGUUUGCAGCUUAACUGUAAAAAUGCCGUUGAAACUGUAGGACUUGAGUGUAAAUGAGGUAGGCGGAAUGCGUGGUGUAGCGGUGAAAUGCAUAGAUAUCACGCAGAACUCCGAUUGCGAAGGCAGCUUACUAAGCUACAACUGACACUGAAGCACGAAAGCGUGGGGAUCAAACAGGAUUAGAUACCCGGGUAGUCC
rnacentral:rRNA from 1 species